rnacentral:rRNA from 1 species
GAUGAACGCUGGCGGCGUGCCUAACACAUGCAAGUCGAGCGAUUCUCUUCGGAGAAGAGCGGCGGACGGGUGAGUAACGCGUGGGUAACCUGCCCUGUACACACGGAUAACAUACCGAAAGGUAUGCUAAUACGAGAUAAUAUACUUUUAUCGCAUGGUAGAAGUAUCAAAGCUCCGGCGGUACAGGAUGGACCCGCGUCUGAUUAGCUAGUUGGUAAGGUAACGGCUUACCAAGGCGACGAUCAGUAGCCGACCUGAGAGGGUGAUCGGCCACAUUGGAACUGAGACACGGUCCAAACUCCUACGGGAGGCAGCAGUGGGGAAUAUUGCACAAUGGGCGAAAGCCUGAUGCAGCAACGCCGCGUGAGCGAUGAAGGCCUUCGGUCGUAAGCUCUGUCCUCAGGAAGAUAAUGACGGUACUUGAGGAGGAAGCCCGGCGUAACUACGUG